rnacentral:ncRNA from 1 species
UAUCUGGUUGAUUCUGCCAGUAGUCAUAUGCUUGUCUCAAAGAUUAAGCCAUGCAUGUCUAAGUAUAAGCACUUUAUACUGUGAAACUGCGAAUGGCUCAUUAAAUCAGUUAUCGUUUAUUUGAUAGUACCUUACUACAUGGAUACCUGUGGUAAUUCUAGAGCUAAUACAUGCUAAAAACCUCGACUUCGGAAGGGGUGUAUUUAUUAGAUAAAAAACCAAUGCCCUUCGGGGCUCCUUGGUGAUUCAUAAUAACUUAACGAAUCGCAUGGCCUUGCGCCGGCGAUGGUUCAUUCAAAUUUCUGCCCUAUCAACUUUCGAUGGUAGGAUAGUGGCCUACCAUGGUGGCAACGGGUAACGGGGAAUUAGGGUUCGAUUCCGGAGAGGGAGCCUGAGAAACGGCUACCACAUCCAAGGAAGGCAGCAGGCGCGCAAAUUACCCAAUCCCGACACGGGGAGGUAGUGACAAUAAAUACUGAUACGGGGCUCUUUUGGGUCUCGUAAUUGGAAUGAGUACAAUCUAAAUCCCUUAACGAGGAACAAUUGGAGGGCAAGUCUGGUGCCAGCAGCCGCGGUAAUUCCAGCUCCAAUAGCGUAUAUUAAAGUUGUUGCAGUUAAAAAGCUCGUAGUUGAACCUUGGGUCUGGCUGGCCGGUCCGCCUCACCGCGAGUACUGGUCCGGCUGGACCUUUCCUUCUGGGGAACCUCAUGGCCUUCACUGGCUGUGGGGGGAACCAGGACUUUUACUGUGAAAAAAUUAGAGUGUUCAAAGCAGGCCUUUGCUCGAAUACAUUAGCAUGGAAUAAUAGAAUAGGACGUGCGGUUCUAUUUUGUUGGUUUCUAGGACCGCCGUAAUGAUUAAUAGGGAUAGU